GAUGAAGAACGCAGCGAAAUGCGAUAAGUAGUGUGAAUUGCAGAAUUCAGUGAAUCAUCGAAUCUUUGAACGCACAUUGCGCCCCCUGGUAUUCCGGGGGGCAUGCCUGUCCGAGCGUCAUUACAACCCUCAAGCUCAGCUUGGUGUUGGGCCCCGCCGCCCCGGCGGGCCCUAAAGUCAGUGGCGGUGCCGCCCGGCUCCGAGCGUAGUAAUUCUUCUCGCUCUGGAGGUCCGGUCGUGUGCUCGCCAGCAACCCCCAAUUUUUUUCAGGUUGACCUCGGAUCAGGUAGGGAUACCCGCUGAACUUAAGCAUAUCAAUAAGCGGAGGA
rnacentral:misc_RNA from 1 species